rnacentral:rRNA from 1 species
AGAGUUUGAUCAUGGCUCAGGAUGAACGCUAGCGAUAGGCCUAACACAUGCAAGUCGAGGGGCAUCACAUGAAGUAGCAAUACGGAUGGUGGCGACCGGCGCAGGGGUGACUAACGCGUAUGCAACCUGCCUACAACAGGGGGAUAACCCGUUGAACGACGGACUAAUACCCCAUAACACAGGGGUCCCGCAUGGCAAUAUUUGUUAAAGAUUUAUCGGUUGUAGAUGGGCAUGCGUUCCAUUAGCUAGUUGGUGAGGUAAGGGCUCACCAAGGCAACGAUGGAUAGGGGAACUGAGAGGUUUAUCCCCCACACUGGUACUGAGACACGGACCAGACUCCUACGGGAGGCAGCAGUGAGGAAUAUUGGUCAAUGGGCGCAAGCCUGAACCAGCCACGUGGCGUGAAGGAAGACGGCCCUACGGGUUGUAAACUUCUUUUGUAAGGGAAUAAAGUGCAUUACUCGUACUGUUUUGCAUGUACCUUACGAAUAAAGAUCGGCUAACUCCUUGCCAGCAUCCGCGGUAAUACGGAGGAUCCAAGCGUUAUCCGGAUUUGUUGGAUUUAAAGGGUGCGCAGGCGGGAGAUUAAGUCGGCGGUGAAAUUUUGCAGCUCAACUGUAAAAGUGCCUUCGAAACUGGUUUUCUUGAGUGUAGAUGACGUACGCGGAAUUUGUGGUGUAGCGGUGAAAUGCAUAGAUAUCACGAGGAACUCCGAUUGCGCCAGAAGCUUACUAAUCUACAAC